rnacentral:rRNA from 1 species
UACGAAGGGUGCAAGCGUUAAUCGGAAUUACUGGGCGUAAAGCGUGCGUAGGCGGUCUUUUAAGUCCGAUGUGAAAGCCCUGGGCUCAACCUGGGAAUGGCACUGGAUACUGGAAGGCUAGAGUACGGUAGAGGAGGGUGGAAUUCCCGGUGUAGCGGUGAAAUGCGUAGAGAUCGGGAGGAACAUCAGUGGCGAAAGCGACUUCCUGGACCAAUACUGACGCUCAUGUGCGAAAGCGUGGGGAGCAAACAGG